AUUUCCGAGGAGUCACUAAAUCCACAGGUAUUAUCAUUGCCAGCCCAUAGGACUAAUUUAAUUAGUAACAGAAACUAUACAAGAAGGGCCUAAUCCCGUGAGGAGAAAGGAUCUGAAAUAGUGACGGCUUUAAAGUGACUUUAAACUUUGGGGUUUAUUCACAAAACUCAGAAUUGUAGUGAAAUAAGAAUUGAGUUGCAAAAUGUAACCAAAAUGUUCUGACAGAGUUAUAGUCAACACUUGGUUAUUUUAGCCAGUCCCGGCAGCAGGUAGGUUAAACUCCGUAUGUGCAGCAUUUCAAAGCAAAACAAGACUCCAGGCACCAUAACCACUUCAAAUCACUGAACAUGAUGCAUAUAUUUUAUCAAAAACUAAUAAGUUACUGAAAAAUCUCCAACCUUGCACUCGUGAAGUAUAAAUGAAAAGGUGCCUUUUGUAAGUUUUUUGGGGGUUUUUUUUUGCAGGUAAAUGGCCACAUAUCAAAUAUUUACAACCAGCCUGUCUAAAAAAAGAGAGAAAUUAAUUGAUCAGGUCUAUAUGAUAUUAUUAUUCUUCCCUUGUAAAGCCAUUUUCCAGAGCCCCAAAGAGAAUUUUACCUCUACUGAAGCAAUUACUCAUAACAUUCUCUUCUGGAGGAUCUGUAGGAAC